rnacentral:lncRNA from 1 species
CCCGGGCUACGGGACAGCCCCACAGGGCUGGACGCACGCUGUUGUCAGUCUUUUCUGUAACAAAUGAUGAUUCAAUAGGUCAGCUUGGAACUUGUCAUUAUAUAUGCGCGCAGGAGCAGCCACAGGGUGAAUUCCCAGCAGCCAGAUUGCUGGGUGAAGUAAGUGCAUUGACACUUCUGAUAGAUGAGAAAUCCCUGUCCACUGUCGCUUCCUUUGCCCAGUGGACCUCCUCCCAGCAAGGGCUGGGCGCCGCUUCCGCAGCCGAACAUGCUGGAAAACUCUGGGGGUUUUGCCAAUCUGCUGGAUGUCUGAGUUGUUUCCACUUUGGGGAUGUUAGGACCAGUCUUCUACGAAAUUCUCUGAACCUGAAGAUGGUGCUGAGAUGCCUCUGACCCAAGACGGUGGAGCUCCACCUACCUGAGGCCCU